GACAGAGGGUGCAAACGUUGCUCGGAAUCACUGGGCGUAAAGGGCGUGUAGGCGGAGAAGUAAGUCGGGCGUGAAAUCCCCAGGCUCAACCUGGGAACUGCACUCGAAACUACUUCCCUUGAGUGUCGGAGAGGAAAGCGGAAUACCUGGUGUAGAGGUGAAAUUCGUAGAUAUCAGGUGGAACACCAGUGGCGAAGGCGGCUUUCUGGACCGUAACUGACGCUGAAACACGAAAGCGUGGGUAGCAAACAGG
rnacentral:rRNA from 1 species